UGUGGGAUGACGGAGGGCCACUGCCGUUGGUGGGUGCCGGCCGUUGGCCGGCACGGGUUCGGAUCCCGUUGCCGCGC
rnacentral:tRNA from 1 species